rnacentral:rRNA from 1 species
UACGAGUGCCCCAAGCGUUAUCCGGAAUUAUUGGGCGUAAAGGGUGUGUAGGUGGUCUUGUUAGUCUUCUGUGAAAUUCUUCGGCUUAACCGGGGGUCCGCAGGGGAAACGGCAGGACUAGAGGAUGCGAGAGGUGUGCGGAACUCAUGGUGUAGGGGGGGUGAAAUCCGUUGAUAUCAUGGGGAACACCGAAAGCGAAGGCAGCACACUGGCGCACUCCUGACACUGAAACACGAAAGCGUGGGUAGCGAAUGGG